rnacentral:rRNA from 1 species
GACGAACCGUCCAAACGUUAUUCGGAAUCACUGGGCUUACAGAGUUCGUAGGCGGUCUGGAAAGUUGGGUGUGAAAUCCCUCGGCCUAACCGAGGAACUGCGCUUGGAACUACCAGACUCGAGGGAGAUAGAGGAAAGCGGAACUGAUGGUGGAGCGGUGAAAUGCGUUGAUAUCAUCAGGAACACCGGUGGCGAAGGCGGCUUUCUGGGUCUUACCUGACGCUGAGGAACGAAAGCCAGGGGAGCGAACGGG